UUUUGGAAAUUUCCUACCGUAAAUAUAUCAAAACUUAAUUUUUGAUUAGUAAUAUGCAUUGCUAAGAACUUCAUUUGAACAACUUUAAAGAUGAUUUUCUCAAUAUUUAGAUUUUUUUGCUCCCUCAGAUUCCAGAUUUUCAAAUAUCCUAAUGAUUUUUGUCAUAAAAGAGAAAUGUAUAAUUGUGACCCAUACAAUGUAUUGUUGUCUAUUGCUACAAAUAUACCUGUGCUACUGAUGACUGCUUCUGUGCUGCAGGGACACGUUUAUAAAAGAACGAGCAUUUUCACAAAUUCUGCCUCUUGUUAGUCACUCCAGCUGAAGAAUGAGCCUUCUAGAGUUUGCACCAAACUUUCAGAGUUUCCUUCAGAUGCAGCUGAUGCGGUGCUGUGGAGCGAGCGAAGUGCUAUUAAUCGCUCCAGUAAUGUAUUUGUGCUCUUUCUUGUAUCCGGUCACUCAUACCAGUGCGAAAGGUUAAUGAUGCACUUUACAAACAUCUCAUCCUGAUAUUCAUGCGCUCUGAUAAAGCUAAUGUCUCAUGACUGUUAAUGGCUGAGCACUCCGGGUGAUAACUGAUGCUAUCGAAACCGGCCUGAUAAACCUCCCGCUUCUGAACGUCUCUGUCUCUAAACGUCACGUCUGGCCGUGGAUCAGAGGUCAGCUGACAACAAUGUAGAAUCGGCCCAUUAGUGUCGCGGGGCAGACGUUUAGAGCCGGGGUCCCUCGUCCCCCAACAGCUCUAAUUAGGUUGUCAGUGGCUCCCAAUUGUGCUUCUGUGACCCUUGAUCUGGAUCAGCUCUCAGUGUGUGUGUCCAGGGUUAAACACACUUGCAUUUAUCAAACAGAGCAACAUUAAAAAGACAGUGCUCUUUAAAAUGAAUACUUGCAGUUAAUUUACUCUCCCUCAGGCCAUCCAGGUG
ensembl:lncRNA